CUCUGGGGUGCAGGGGAGAUUGGCCAAGUAUUUGGAAGAGGGCUGUGCUGAGAGUUGGUGAACAAACAGCCCCUCAGGCUCAGGAAAUUCCCAGCACUGAAAGCAGUUGAAGGCUAUAGGACUGUUUCAGAGGAGAUAUCGUAUCUUUGCCUUGUUUUUCCUCUUCCCUUGAUGUUUGCCUGUGGCCUGUGGUGGAAACAGGAUGUUGGACUGAACAGGUUCUUCAUCUGAGGCAGGACACCUCUUACUCUGUAUUCACGGAGAAUCAUGCUGUAACUGAUGCUUAUACACCUGGAGCCACACAACAGCAAGCCUGUGACAUGGGGGUCUUUCAAACCAGAUUCAGUGUUCAUCUGUACCAGAAGUUCCUUACGAAGCAGGUGAUCUAUAUAAUCUCAGUUGAACUGGUAGAUAAUGGAGGAAACAUGUAAAGUGUUGAAUGCUUGAGCAACAGAUCUGAAAAGAACAGAGAUCACCACAAAGCUGACUGCACACUUUUGUUGUUGACUGGCAACCCAGAAAGAGAAAUCCUUUCUCUAUUUUACCAGGAAAAUCAUCUCUCUUCCAUGCACAAAGAGAAUGGGAAACUGUGGCAAAACAACAAAUAUGUGCUGUAACUGCAGCAGCGUGGCCUCUGACGAUUUGAUAUCUUCAAUACAAAGAAUAAAAACAUUGUUGCAAAGUAGGAAACUACCUAUUUUUUUUUUUUCUGAAACUAUGGUACUGGGAGCUUUUUCUUGCUCCACCAAUGGCUGGUGGAGGAGAUGCUAUGGAUAUAGGUUCGAAGACCUGUCUCAACUGUCAUUAAAUCAAACUUUUCAGCUUUUGGGAGGGGGGGCAUGUUUCCAAACACGCAGAGCUUUUCAUGUGUAGGGGUAUUCGCAUGUCACGUAAAAGGGAUGUGUGUACUGGCAGAUUUUUUCCUCCUCUCAAUAUUCCUAUCUGGUCAGUUAUUUAAUCUAUGCAAGAGCCUUUCCUGUAGCAACUUAGAAAUGUUAAGAAACUGCCUAAUGCUUUAGUCACUUUUUCUUUCUAUUAAGAGGAUCUCAGGUAUUUCUGUGACAGAAAAUCGGUACAUCAUCUGUUAUACUAAUCUCCAAGACAUGAGAUCUGGCUGUAUUGAUGGUGAAAGGCUGAGCAUACUGGAGAGAAGUAUAAAAUUCUGGUCUUCUUGAAGUAUUUAAGGAGAUUGAGACUGUAAGUGCUUUAAAAGACAUUAUUAAAAUUUCUGCUUUAUAUCAUUCAAUGUAUUAUGCAUGUUUUCUUUUUUAAG